GUUAAGAUGGCAGAGACAGGUAAUUGCAUAAGACUUAAACCUUUAUUACCAGAGGUUCAAAUCCUCUUCUUAACA
ensembl:Mt_tRNA